UAUGCAAAUAAACGAGUCUGGCUCAAUCCGGGGGCUCAGGAUCAUCUGGAUGAAGGGCUCUGAUGUCCCCAUCAUCAAGUCCUUGAAGCUAUCGGAUCAAUUCACGGAUCUUUACCGGAAUAAUAGUUCUACUGGAGAGAAAAUGCGAUGGUCUCUCUCCCUAAUCUAUGACCAUGGCCUUUAAUUGUAUUCUGAUGCACCCUCUUUUGCGUAGGUUGAGGGAAUUCUCAUGGGUGGAUGUCUUUGAGGAAAUCCCUCUAUGUUUUUCAUAUGUAUUGCCGGCCAUUUCAAAUUAUUUAUGAGCUUUCUUGCUGUUCUUAGUUAAGUUCUUGCAGAAAAUGCUUCUCCAUUUGAUUCUUUCAUGUUUUACUAAUAUGUCAGACAUUUUCUAAAUGUUAAAAGAGUAUGUAUUGGCCCCAAAAUGAUAGUAUCGAUUUUCUCUCUUCUCUGUCCUUUGAUUCCUGUUUUAUUUCUUUCUUUAUCACGCAUUAAAGUUUCUAAUUCUGCACUUAUCAGUGCAUUCACGACAGAGUUGAAACCUGAUUCUCCUGAUGCUUGGGUCUUUUAAUUUCUCCAUUCUUUGGAUGUUCAUUUUUUCUGAUAAUGGAACCAGUUAGAGCAUGUCAAUCAUUUUGGCAGUGUGAUUAUGAUCAUGUGAAUUGCACAGUUCCAUUCAUGGAGAGGAACUUGGAGUUUUUGAUUGAAUGUAUGGAAGAUCUAUCUUCAGAACAAAAAAAGUUCCAAAAUUACAAUUGAAACCUCUCGAGACAACAAGCACAGCAGCCAGCCUGGAUUCAAAACCGAAGAUUAUAAUUUUGUCGUCCGUUGCAUGGUGGAGAACAUGGCAAGGAAAGCAGCUGGAGAACAAGCACAUCCUGAGGAAGAUCCAUCAUAUCCCAUCUUUGAACCAAUACCUGAACCAUCACGCCUGAUAGCUAUCUCAUAACUAAUGAGAUAGACAACUGCUGCAACCAAAUCAAUGGGUGUGCCAUCCAUCUCUAUCAACUAUACACAUUAUAUUCCCUUUGUUUAUCCAAGACAUCCACUGCUAAACAAUAGAACAUCCGGGAGUUUUGUUCCGUUAGACAUCGUACUUUUUAAUAUGUCAUCCAUUAACAUGCCUUCUCAAACUAACAUGUAUAUUGAAUAAUAGUGAACUAGGAACAAUCACAUAAUUAUUUCAUAUUUUGACA